rnacentral:sRNA from 1 species
UCUGUUGCUUCAAGGAAAACUAAAACCAGUUAGAGAAAGGGUUGUGUAGGACUCAGCAGAGGGUGCUGGAGGCUGCACUGAGAUAUAAAUCCUUCCUGGAAUUCUUUUGGAAAUGAGCAUUCCCCACCUCCCAAGCCCCCCAGGUCUAGAACUCAAGAAAAGUCAGGUAAAGAGAGUAGAAGCAUUACAAACUUUCUGAGUGAAGUACUGCUUGCCGGCGAGCACAGAGAUGUUGCUGGUUUGAAAGAACUCAUCACCUCUGCGUCAGCAAAGCCCAGAUAGAGACAUAGGCAGUGUGGGGUUGAAGGUGAAGGUCGGUGUUCCUGGAGACAGCAGUUACUAUGGUCAAAACUCAAACUUGGCGAUGCCUCAGCUGCUGGUGAGUGUCGGGGUGUGAAGAGAAUAAAUAUUAGAGAAGUUUACAGACAAAAUUCACUCCAUGCAACUCUCACGACUGAUGUUCUGACACAAAACAUUGAGGAGGACCAAAUCCUUAAAGGGGCUGCAGCAGUGCCGGACGGAGUCUGUAGCACUGUUAGUUUUUGCGAAGAGAUUUGAACACUGCACCGUUCUGAUGCCAUCAGAAAGUGUGUACGAGUCAACUGGUUCCAGGAAUCAAAUGCUGCUAUGAGGCCUCGUUCUUUUCAUCCCCGUCAGGUGCCACGGUGAGCUGAGACUCUAGAAGACAGCAUGGGACCAGCAGACCGCCCAUAUCUGGUCUCCACACCCGGGGCCCACAGCCUCCCUUCUUCCUCCCACCAUGACUCUCCUCAGGCCCCAAGCCCAUCUCACACACCUUCCUGAUUUCUAGUUGAUUGUUUUCACUAAGGAGACAAGCCUGAGCUAAGUUCAGGGUGUCAGCCCUGAGGCCCCUCUGCUGCUGCGCCCUGGCUGAGCUUGGCAUUCACCGGGUGGGUCUCACUAUGACCACAGCACAAACGCUGAACACAGAGAAGAAGUCACCCCGCUUGGCCCUUCCUGGCAACUAAGCGCAGGCCUGCAUGGCCUCGACUGCCAACCUCCAGCCGUGGGAACUUCUUAGUGCUUCUUUCUGGCCACUUGGAUGUCAUGGUUGGAAGGACCUGUGAGAGAUCAGACGUGAUGUUUCCUGCCUUUCUGAAGACAAGGGCCUCAGUGUCCUAGUCAGAGAUGACGGUCAGAGAAGCCAUCGUGAUGCUCAUCCUCCUUCAGGGCCAAAGGCUAACGUGUCAAGAGAACCUUGACGUUUGCUCUGCCAAUUCACAUCGCCUCUUCUUUGUUGGCUUUGACCGUGAAGAGCAUAAAAGGCAGUCUGGCUUAAGGGAUCCAUAAACAGUUUGCCCAAAGGUCAUUACAGACUAGUCCUGUCUUUGUUCUCACCUAUUCUUUGUCUGGUGUUUGCUUGGCGUGGUGGACCGUGAUGGGCCAUGAUUGUACUCCAGCUCACCGUCUGGAUGGUUCCUUUUGUGGUUGGGGCUAUUCAAAGUCAGGCGCAUGAGUCUGGCUGCCUCCCACUGGACAGAGUUCUGACUGCAGCUUUCCGGGACCCAGAUGACUCAAGAAUAUAUGGGGACAGGUUGCUUGUGGACAAGAGUAAGGUGUUGCUUCUCACAGAGAAGUCACCUCAUUUUCCUGUAAGCUGGGGCAGCUGGUACUUUGUCUUCACUAAGACCGUAUGCCUUCUGUCAUGUUAAGUCUGGUCCUUCCCUGUCUCCCAUCCCCUACUGCUUUGAUGAGGAACAGGUAUGAACAAUCCCAAGAUGUCUUCUCUAGGCCAGCUCUCCAGACUCUCUGAGUUGGGUCCAUCCAGUCAGGGGAAGGACACAGUGCUGUCCUGUACCUGUGGCUGUGGCUGUCUCUGUGACCAGGGUCACACGGUGUCCUGUCAUCAGCAGAACUGGAAUUGGUCCAGUGACAUAAAAAGUGGCCUUUCUUUCUUUUUGCCCUUCAUGUACGAGCCAAUGAAAGAAAGAGAGCCUGUGGAGUUGGGAAAGCCCCGUUGAUGGCUGGGGCUCUGGGAGAGCCAGAGAAAUAAGAAAAUGCAAGCUCAGCCUGGUGUCACUGGCCUGUCACCCCCAGCUACCUGGGAGCUGAGGCGGGAGGAGCCUGGAGGGGCUACACAUCUCACAGCUGACCUGGGUAACAGCAAGACCCUGUCUCAGAAUGAAAAAGUAAACACACUGAUAAAGGGGCCGGGAGAAUAAAACAGAUACAUCUCAGAGCUUCUGGACCUGCUGAGCAGGCACGGGGCCCAGGGGGAGAAAAGGGGAUGGAGGGAAAAAGGAAGAAAGGAAAAAUGAAAGUAAUUACCAAUAGACAAGAGUACUAAAUAGUGGCCACCUUCAACCUUUAACUAUUCCAAAAGCAACGUUUGUUUAGUGGCACUCCCAGGGCCUUCCGUUGCUCUGAAUCAGGUGGGGGAGGGAAGGCUGGCUUCGUUUUAUACCACGGGACGGGGUUUGUGCUUUUGGGGAGCAAAACAUGACUUUACCCCUGAAGUGGAUUAAGUCACAGGCAGAGCUGCGAAGGCAAGAGACUGGAAGAAUUAAGGAGCAAGAAGAACGCUGCCGCUUCCAGCCGGCUGUAGCGAAGCUGAAGUCUCAGUGCCAGGCGAAAGCAGGAAGCUGGUGCCACCCAUGAAUAGGAGAGGGAAACACCUGUGUGGCCAGCACCCAGGCUGAGAGAAGCCCCUCUCGGAUGAUUCUGCCACCGCUGACCUUCGGGGACACAGUUCAUUCUGUUCAUCUUUGCGCCUAGAGAUGGAAUUUCACAGUGGAGCCUCUUUGGAAUCUGUUUCCUUCCCUUUCUCAUUAAAAAA